AUUUUUCGGGGGUCCCCCCACUUAGGGCAACCGACAGCGUCAGGUACGGCAAGUUGCGCCUGAAUCGCACGUCCUCCGCCCCGAUUUCCCCUCGCCCAACGUGUGCUUUUUCUUUGAUCAUCCAGCGAUGAUCGAGGUUUAAUGGCAGGAAAGAGAUAAAAAGGUGGGGUUGUUCCUGCGCAGUGCUGCAAGCUGCAGUGGUAAUCUGAUCAGAUCAGGCCCCCAAUAUUCUCUUCUAGGGAUUGGCAAUCCCACCCACUAUAAAUACCACCCCAAAGAUCAUCCCCUCUCCUCCCACCAUGAACAGGCCCUCUCUCUCUCUCUCUCAUCUCUCCUUCUCUGCCUCUCCUUUUGCCUAUCCACUUCUCUCUUUCCAGACCAGACACCUUUUGUUGCUCUCUUUAGAUUGAUGGGUUCGGCUCAAAAUCUUUUUUUUUCCUUUUUUCUUUCUUUCAUUCUUUCUUUCUCUCUCUAGUGGAGCUUUCAUGGGUUUUUCGUGGAAUGACCCUGUUUGUGUUCUUCCACAGCUUUCUUGAACUGCAUGGUUAUAAUUGGAGAGAUGCGAGGAAAAAUGAGAGGAGACCCAUCUUCUCCUUUUUCUUUGUCCUUGUCCUCUUCUUUUUGUGCGGUUCAAGAAAGCUGUGGGAAGAUACAGAUGGGGUCAAGAAGGAGGAAAAAAAGGAAAAGGUCUUUCUUUUGAGGGAUCUGUGUGACUUCUUGAGAAUUUCGUUGCCGUUACACAGGUUUUGUUUUGCAUCUACAACUCCUUGGAUUCCCUGUAGAAGUCUCUUUUUCCUGCGUAUGUAAUCGCUUUUUUUGUGUUGGUCAGAUGAUUUUCGUAUCUGAUUCACAUGAAGAUGUGAUUUUUACUGAGUGGUGGUGAAAUUUAGGUGUUUCGCGAGUGUAAUGGACGUUCGUUCUGUGGAUCCGUCAUUUUUCGAGGCACUGUGGGAAAGACAAAGUAGUUAAAUGACUAAUCAGUCCAUGGGCAUCAGUCAAAAUAUGUAAGUAAUUCAUGCUUCUGAUCUGUUUGCCUGUUUACUGCAUUGGCCUGUCAGCACUUUGGUUGCCAGAUUAUUCCAUCAUGAUCAGUCUUUUCUGUGAUUGAUAUUAAUCACUCUGUAGAAUGCGGUGCUUAGUAUUGAAUUAUGACGUGCUGUUAUUAUUGGAUAUUUCACAUUUUUGAACUACUAUCGUGUGUGUGUUUCUGUUUGCAUUUGCAUUGGGUUUACUGAGCUAUUUUUCCCUCUUUUAAUCUUUGUUUAUGAUGUUUUUUUUUUUUUUUAUUUCAUUGCAUAAUUCCGGAGUCCUAAUUAUAAUGCAUGUUUUACUUGUUUCAAAUCUAUUUUUUAGGAGCUCCAUCCACACCAAGUUUAAGCUUUGAAUUAAGCCUCUAUACCUUGUCAGUUGCUUUCAAGCUUUAACUAAAAAUAUGGGAGAAACCUUUGAUAUUUAUUAUGUACAAAAAUUGUAAGUUAGGGUUUCAAUUUCAUAAUCGAAAGAGCUUUAGGGAAAUUUUUUUUGAAAAAUCAAUAGGCAAAGAAAGUGUCCCUUGAUCAGUUCAAAAGGUCACAUCCUGUGUUUUUCCUCUUAAACCCAGUUUGCUCCUUGAUCACACCGUCCUUGAUUAUCUUCAAAACUGCUCUCUUAAUCGAAACACUGCUCCAGAGAACAACAUACAAACAACACAUUGCCAUUUGCAUGUGAUUGCAAAAAUGGGAUCCUAAUGUUGCAUUUGAUUCUUAGAUUGCAUAAAGUAAGAGUUUCUGAACCACUACUUAAAACCUUAGAACUUGAAAGGUCAUAUAGAUACUGUGAAAGGUUGAGCUACAUUAUUUUUUAGGUCGGACAGCUACAUAACUUGAGGAGCUGCAAUUUGGCAAAACACUAUGUCAUGGACCAAAACGAGCUGUUACAAGCUGUGAUGUAAUGGACCUUCAGUUCUAGAUCUGUUUUUUCAAAUGGCCACACCUCGUCAGCCUUCACGAAUUUCCGCCGAGUCAAUGGAUAUACUUUAUGUGUUCCCUAUAUUUUAGCCUAUUGAGGCUGAAUCCAGACAGUGAACUGUACCAUUUUUUUCUCGAGUUCUUGUUUUUUUUACUUGUUUUGGACAAGUGGAUGUGGUUUGGAAAUUAUAGCAUAAGAAAUAUGGACAGCUCCAUCUGGUGAGAUCCACCUUAAAUACAGGUGGGGUUCUUGGUGCAUACCAUUCAUGUAAAUUUUUUCCUCUCGUUUUUGGUGUGCUUGUAAUUGGGAAGCUGUUUCAAGACCAAUCACUCCUGUUUGUCAUAUAACUUCACGUAUCCACUUUAUCUGCCAAAAUUCGUUUACUUUUUGAGUUUGUGCAAAGCUUUUCAAUCUUUCUAAUGAUGAGGAUGAAUACUGUAACUGCAUUUCACAGGUAAUUCCAUUAUGGUUGUUGUGAUGGGUAGUUAUGUGAAGAAGAAAGUGGCCAAGUUAUUUUGCAUUUUAAUGAAUUUCCUUGCCAUUUCAAAUGGUUGAGCCAUGCAUCAUGGUCUUGCUAAUGUGGAGCAAGAUGAUAUCCACAUUUUACCUUCUUAGUUUUCGUCAUGAAGCAGGCCGGUUUCAAUUCCCCUUGUUUUCCCCUUGAACUCGUUAGUUUCCGUCUCAUUAAUCAUGUUUGAUUGAGCACCCUGCCUCAAAUCAUAUCUUGGAAAAUGUAGGUCAAGAAUUCUUCAGAUGGGAGUUUAAUUGUUUAACUAAUCUUGGGCCGCAAUCUGUUUUGAAAUGCCGCAGUUCUUUAUACGUAUAUUUCAAGCAUUUCAGAGGCUUUUGUUUUAUUGAAAUGUCAACGACUUUGAUAGUUUUACUAUUUUUUGGUUACCGUGCCAAGAGGGUGACUAUUAUGACAAGUGACUUAAUUUUAAUAUAAUCUGCAUCGAAUAAACAAGUAUAAAUAGAUGUAUCUACAAAAGAAUAUAAUUGACAUAGAUUUAUUCUAUGGUUUUUUGUUUUUUUGGUAAAAGGUAAGAGGUAUAUAGAGUAAGCACAAAAGGCUAUACGAUUGUACAGCAAGGGGGGCCUCGGCACUAGUUUACACUUAGAAAGACAGGAAAUCCAAACGAGUGGAAGGGGGCUGGGGGGGGAGAAAAGGGGAGGGGAGAGCUGUGAGAGAGAUACAAAGCUAAUAAAAAAAGCAGCAAAAGAAGACCAAAACAACGGCCAACAAAAGAGACGGGGGCGAAGAGCACACAACACUGUGGCCCGCACAAGGAAAAGAUGAAAAGAGGACAAGAGCAAGAGGGACACCAAGAUGGGAACACAAGCCGCAACUUUAGGAAAGACGCGGGAGAAAACCCAAAAUGGUGAAUGAGAAACAUAUUGGAUUUGUGUUGUCUUGAUGAGGUCCAGUGUAGAUGCCAAAUAGCUAUUGAAAAGCAUUAGCCA